rnacentral:lncRNA from 1 species
AAAAAGAGUGGCAACUUCCUUGGCUCUCCUAUCCUGCAGUAGGUGAGCCCUCUGCAUGGGAUCUUUCGGGGCUGAGAGCUCUUUUCUGUUAAAGGAAUGUCUGCAAAAGACAAGACAAAUACAUUUGAACAGUCCCGAGGAGAGGUAAUUUCAGAGUAGACACCUAUUUCUCCACCAGAAACAAAGCAGAUCCCAGAUCUGAAAAGCAGGCUUGAGGAGGCAAGAGGAAGCAUCCAGGAACCCCAGAGCAGGCAGUGGAUUACCCAUUGGCUCUGGGUAAAGCCAAGAGGGUUUAGAGAGGGAUUUGCGCUGUUUCAGCCUCCUGAUUCAACUCCUCUCCAAGGAAAGAGGCUCAGUAGGCCAACCAAGCCACUUUUCCUCUCUUGAGGGAAGACGACCAAAGAUGCAACUUGCCCAGCUGUCUGUUAUGAACGAAAUUGCAUCCCCGCAAAAUUCAUAUGUUGAAGGCCUAACACCUCGUACCUCAGUAUUUGACUGUAUUUGGAGACAGGGUCUUUACAGAGGUAAUAAAGGUGACACGAGGUCAUUAGAGUGGGCCCUAAUCCAUUAUGAUGGGCAUUUAUAAAAGGAGGAGAUUAGGACACAGAGAAGAAUGCAUGGAGAAAAGACCAUGUGAAGACUCAGGGAGGGUGUGGUCAUCUACAAGCCAAGGAGAGAGGCAUCAGAAGAAACAAUCCUCACAACACCUUGAUCUUGGAGUUCUAGCCUCCAGAGCAGUGAGAAAAACAAACCGCCAUCCAGGAUGUGGCCCUUUGUUAUGGCAGCCCUCGAAAACCAACACACAGCAGAACAACACCAGAGGCAAAUCAGAAAGAAAAUGAGAUGCAGACUCCAGCAGCCUGGUCUCCCAGUCAGGACACAAGCCAGACCUGGACGGAAGUGGUCACAGCACUUCUAGCUCCAAAAUAACCACUGGGUGGAGGGUCCUGGUUCCUCCUCCCACCAACCCCACGCAGCCCUCUCUAUCCCCAUCUUCUCAGGCUCACUGAGUGCAAUGUCUGCCUGCAUCCCUCUAUCAGGGGCCUUCCUCUGCCCACAGAGGGAGUUAUAUACAAGCCCGAGGAAUGAGGAAGAGAAGACAAAAGCAAGAUGGAGCCUCACUGUCUGAUUUUCCCAGACGUUCCCAGGAGGUCCUGGUUAUGCAGGGCAGUCUGGAUUUUUGCCCUCACAGCCACCCCUGCAGGUGGGAAUGACCACUCCCUUCCUAAAGAUGAGAAAACCUGAACUAGGAGUGGUGGCUCGCACCUGUAAUCCCAGGGACUCAGGAUGCUGAAGUAGGAGGAUCGCUUGAGCCCAAGAGUUCGACGCUGCAGUGAGCUAUGAUCCCACUGCUGCACUUUAGCCUGGGUGAAAAAGUGAGACCCUAUCUCUAAAAAAUAAAUAAAAAUAAAAAUAAAAGAUGA